CGAAAGCACAAGAUCCCGAGUUUGAUCCCCAGUACCCCCCCCCAAUAAUAAUCUCAUGUUUAUGUUUUUCCAGCCCACUGCUAUGGACAGUGCCAUCACCCUGUGGCAGUUCCUCCUUCAGCUCCUGCAGGAGCCUCAGAAUGAGCACAUGAUCUGCUGGACCUCUAACAAUGGGGAGUUCAAGCUUCUGCAGGCAGAAGAGGUGGCUCGUCUUUGGGGGAUUCGCAAGAACAAGCCCAACAUGAAUUAUGACAAACUCAGCCGAGCCCUCAGAUACUACUAUGUAAAGAAUAUCAUCAAAAAAGUAAAUGGUCAGAAGUUUGUGUACAAGUUUGUAUCUUAUCCAAAGAUUUUGAAAAUGGAUCCAAUCACAGUGGGCAAGAUUGAGGGAGACGGUGAAACUCUGAAUUGCAGUGACAUCAGCAGCACUUCUAAAGACGUGGAGAGUGGGGGGAAGGAGAAACAGCCCGGGGCCAGGACCUCCAGCCGCAAUGACUACAUCCACUCUGGCUUGUAUUCCUCAUUUACUCUCAAUUCUUUGAACACCUCCAGUAAAAAGCUUUUCAAGUCAAUAAAGAUGGAGAAUCCUGCUGAGAAACUGGCAGAGAAAAAAUCUCAGGAACCAACACCAUCUGUCAUCAAAUUUGUAACACCUUCCAAGAAACCACCCACUGAACCUAUCGCUGCCACCAUUUCAACUGACCCAACUAUUUCUUCAUCUUCCAAAGAAACUAUCCAAGCAUUAGAGACACUGGUUUCCCCAAAGCUGCCCUCCCUGGAGGCCCCAGCCUCCGUGUCCAGCAUGGCUGCCAGUUUUACCCCCACUCCUCCCAUUCCUGCCGCGCCCCCUCCCUUGAAGGAGCCUCCCAGGACACCCUCUCCUCCGCCGAGUUCCAACCCAGACAUCGACACAGACGUUGACUCGGUGGCUUCCCAGCCAAUGGAGCUUCCAGAGAACUUGUCUCUGGAGCCUAAAGAUGAGGGUUCAUCUUUGCCAGAAAAAGACAAAACAAAUAGUUCAUCAAGGUCCAAGAAACCCAAAGGGUUAGAACUGGCACCUACCCUUGUGAUCACAGGCAGUGACCCAAGCCCGCUGGGAAUACUGAGCCCAUCUCUUCCUACAGCUUCUCUUACACCAGCGCUGUUUUCACAGACGCCCAUCCUCCUGACUCCAAGCCCCUUGCUCUCCAGCAUCCACUUCUGGAGCACUCUCAGCCCUGUCGCUCCCCUGAGUCCAGCCAGACUGCAAGGUGCUAACACACUUUUCCAGUUUCCUUCUGUACUGAACAGUCAUGGGCCGUUCACCCUGUCUGGCCUGGACGGACCUUCCACUCCUGGCCCGUUUUCCCCAGACCUGCAGAAGAUAUAAUCUAUGCACUUGUGGCGUGAGAGGAAUACAGAGAUGGAGAGAGAGUUGACCUGAUGGCAUUGGAGUGAGGAGUUGAUGCUAUGAUUUUUGCCAUUUCCCGCUGAAACACCUUCUUCAGGACUCUCUUUGAAUAGGUUUCGAGUUAGACUGUGUGAAAUGCCUUAAUUGGAGCCCACCUCCACAGCCUUGUCUUUUUUUAUGUUGAGCCAAGUGCUAAAGUAAUUUUGGUGGGGUUUAUAGCAGCUGUGCUUUGCAAACGUGGUUAAGAGCAAAGGUAAUCCUCCUGGCUAUCAGAAUCCUUUGGCUAGGAGAAAAUUGUGCUUAGAGUUUAUUAUUUUAGAAAUGCUAUUUAAGGAGCUGGGGAUUUAGCUCAGUGGCAUUGCACCUGCCUGGCAAAUGCAAGGUCCUGAGUUCGAUCCCUGGUACCAAAAAAAAAGAAAAAGAAAUACUGAUUAAAUGAAACUGGCUGCUUAGGACUGAGUAUGCUCUGCUGAAUGAGUAAAAGGGAGCUGUUUAUGAGCAGUAGGAGAAAAAUAAUCCAUUCCUAUUCAUACAAAAUAAGACUGGAGCAGUACCAUUGUGCACUGUUGUGCUACGAACUGCAGCAUGUAGGAGCAGGUCACAGAAGGUGCCAGGGUCUCCUGGCCAUGCCUGUGACCUCACCUUCACCUGUGGGGAGCGCAUGGAGCCAGUCUGUCAGCAGGAGAACUUCCAGCCUGGAUUUGAGGUGUGGCCCUUGGAACAUCCGGGAGAUGAGCACAGGAGCGCCGCUGUCCAGUGUCAUCGGGGAUGAUUUCCAGCAGGAUGGACUUGGGUAUUGAGAAUUGGAAGCUUCUCUGAGUAAGAGGUUGGAUUGAAUACCUUGGAUCAACAUUGGAGGCUUGUCCCAGUUAGAAGAUACCCCGGGUGCAUCUGGCUGCGGCACACUGAUACCCUAACAGGUCACUUUCCAGGGCUGGCAUCGUCAGACGGAGCCGGUCACAGACAGUUGUGAGAGCGCACGUUGUCCUCAUGUAGCACCGCACUGCGCCUUGUGACAGCAGUGGGCCACUGAAGUGGGGUGAGGAAGGGAGCAGCGCGAGGCCUGCACGGGCCGAGUGGGUCACUGCGGCCCUGCUGUUACAGCCGUCGCUGAGUGCCAGCCUUGUCCGACUCGUUCCUGUGUGCCAGAGACUCCUGCAGUGAGGCUCUAGUCCCCGCCUGCCCGGUGUGUGAUGCGGGAUUGAAGGAAAAUGAAGACAGAGUUAGAGAGAAGGUGUGAACUGCGACGGCCCUCGCUCCUUCGGCAAAAGGCCCUGGCCCGUCUCUUCCACCGAAUUUUACCAUUCAUCCGCCAGAGUAAAGGUGCGAUACGUGUAUGGAUGUGCAGUACGUGACAUUAGCAUGGAAACUGACGCCGGCAAGGCUUUAGGAGAAGUCAAAGCAGGGCCAGGAUAGGCCAGCGGUGCCACCACCUGCCUCACAAGCGCAACGUCCUGGCUUCCAUCUCCGGUUCCAAAAAAAAA